rnacentral:tRNA from 1 species
AGCUCAGUUGGUAGAGUGCUUGCUUUGCAUGCAAGAGGCCCUGGGUUUGAUAUCCAG